rnacentral:rRNA from 1 species
UACGGAGGGUGCAAGCGUUAUCCGGAUUCACUGGGUUUAAAGGGAGCGCAGGCGGAUUUGUAAGUCAGUGGUGAAAGGCUUAAGCUUAACUUGGGAACUGCCAUUGAUACUAUAAGUCUUGAAUGUUGUUGAGGUUUGCGGAAUGGGUCAUGUAGCGGUGAAAUGCAUAGAUAUGACCCGGAACACCUAUUGCGAAGGCAGCAGGCUAAACAAAUAUUGACGCUGAGGCUACGAAAGGCGUGGGGAGCGAACAGG